AAUCAACGCUGGCGGCGUGCCUCAGACAUGCAAGUCGAACGAUUAAAGCUCUCUUCGGAGAGUGUAUAGAGUGGCGCACGGGUGAGUAACACGUAAGUAAUCUACCCUCGAGUGGGGAAUAACAACCGGAAACGGUUGCUAAUACCGCAUAAUGCAGCGGCACCGCAAGGUGACAGUUGUUAAAGAUUUAUCGCUUGAGGAGGAGCUUGCGGCAGAUUAGCUAGUUGGUAGGGUAACGGCUUACCAAGGCUACGAUCUGUAACCGGUCUAAGAGGACGGUCGGUCACACUGACACUGAAUAACGGGUCAGACUCCUACGGGAGGCAGCAGUCGGGAAUUUUGGGCAAUGGGCGAAAGCCUGACCCAGCAACGCCGCGUGAAGGAUGAAGUAUUUCGGUAUGUAAACUUCGAAAGAAUAGGAAGAAUUAAUGACGGUACUAUUUAUAAGGUCCGGCUAACUACGUGCCAGCAGCCGCGGUAAUACGUACGUG
rnacentral:rRNA from 1 species